rnacentral:rRNA from 1 species
GCUUAACACAUGCAAGUCGAGGGGCAGCAUCAUCAAAGCUUGCUUUGAUGGAUGGCGACCGGCGCACGGGUGAGUAACACGUAUCCAACCUGCCGACAACACUGGGAUAGCCUUUCGAAAGAAGGAUUAAUACCGGAUGGUAUAGUUUUCCCGCAUGGGAUAAUUAUUAAAGAAUUUCGGUUGUCGAUGGGGAUGCGUUCCAUUAGGCAGUUGGCGGGGUAACGGCCCACCAAACCUACGAUGGAUAGGGGUUCUGAGAGGAAGGUCCCCCACAUUGGAACUGAGACACGGUCCAAACUCCUACGGGAGGCAGCAGUGAGGAAUAUUGGUCAAUGGACGAGAGUCUGAACCAGCCAAGUAGCGUGAAGGAUGACUGCCCUAUGGGUUGUAAACUUCUUUUAUACGGGAAUAAAGUUAGCCACGUGUGGUUUUUUUGUAUGUACCGUAUGAAUAAGGAUCGGCUAACUCCGUGCCAGCAGCCGCGGUAAUACGGAGGAUCCGAGCGUUAUCCGGAUUUAUUGGGUUUAAAGGGAGCGUAGGCGGGUUGUUAAGUCAGUUGUGAAAGUUUGCGGCUCAACCGUAAAAUUGCAGUUGAUACUGGCGACCUUGAGUGCAACAGAGGUAGGCGGAAUUCGUGGUGUAGCGGUGAAAUGCUUAGAUAUCACGAAGAACUCCGAUUGCGAAGGCAGCUUACUGGAUUGUAACUGACGCUGAUGCUCGAAAGUGUGGGUAUCAAACAGGAUUAGAUACCCUGGUAGUCCACACAGUAAACGAUGAAUACUCGCUGUUGGCGAUAUACAGUCAGCGGCCAAGCGAAAGCAUUAAGUAUUCCACCUGGGGAGUACGCCGGCAACGGUGAAACUCAAAGGAAUUGACGGGGGCCCGCACAAGCGGAGGAACAUGUGGUUUAAUUCGAUGAUACGCGAGGAACCUUACCCGGGCUUAAAUUGCAACUGACGGAACCGGAAACGGUUCUUUCUUCGGACAGUUGUGAAGGUGCUGCAUGGUUGUCGUCAGCUCGUGCCGUGAGGUGUCGGCUUAAGUGCCAUAACGAGCGCAACCCUUACGGGUAGUUACCAUCAGGUUAUGCUGGGGACUCUACCCGGACUGCCGUCGUAAGAUGUGAGGAAGGUGGGGAUGACGUCAAAUCAGCACGGCCCUUACGUCCGGGGCUACACACGUGUUACAAUGGGGGGUACAGAAGGCAGCUACACGGCGACGUGGUGCUAAUCCCAAAAGCCUCUCUCAGUUCGGAUUGGAGUCUGCAACCCGACUCCAUGAAGCUGGAUUCGCUAGUAAUCGCGCAUCAGCCACGGCGCGGUGAAUACGUUCCCGGGCCUUGUACACACCGCCCGUCAAGCCAUGAAAGCCGGGGGUACCUGAAGUACGUAACCAAGAGGAGCGUCCUAGGGUAAAACUGGUGAUUGGGGC